rnacentral:rRNA from 1 species
AUGGGCUUCUAUGGUCACCUGAAAUGGGAACGCCAUCUAUCUUGGGAUGACAUUCGCAAUUUACAUAGUAAGAGCAACCAUCCCUGGGUGGUUUUGGGGGAUUUUAAUGAAUUUUUAUACCCCUCGGAAAAAGAGGGCGGUGUAGCUAGACCACUUGGUAUGAUGGAGUUCUGUGAAUGCCUAAUGGACUGUGGGCUGGAAGAUCUAGGCUAUAAUGGGGACAUGUUCACUUGGAGGAGAGGCGAAAUUCUAGAGCGCCUUGAUCGGGCAGUUUGUAACUUAGCAUGGGCAAACAAAUUUCCACGAGCGACAGUUAUCAAUGAAGAACAUGUUUAUUCUGACCAUCACCCAAUCGUACUGGAUAUGGAGUAUUGGGAUGAAAAAAUCUUUAAACGCCCAGAGGGGCUUGUAAAACAAUUUGAGGCGAGAUGGUUGAAGGAAGAGACAGUCACUGAAAUUGUUAAGGCAUCUUGGGAGAAAGCAAAACUAGCAGGUAUUGGACCCUCACUUGCUGACCAUACGAGAGCAGUGCAUGCCGAUCUACAUACUUGGGGUCGGGAAACGCUAAAGGGGCCAAAGGCGAGAAUUAGAAAAUUUAAACAAGAGUUGGAGAGACUAAGGCGUGGCCCAUUGAAUACGGAAUCUCGAUGUCGUCAGAAGGAAAUUAUCGUGGUAACUGAAAAUAUUUUGGAGCAAGAGGAAAUAUUCUGGUUAUAG